CCAACCUCCCCAAUCCUAGGCGGCUAGGCUAGCUGCUAGCCUCCUCGGCUCGUCGCCGCCAUGGGCACCCCACUCCUCCCCCUCCUCGUCGUGCUCCAGCUGCUCAACGCCCACUCCCCCGCGGGCGCGUCACCGCACAUCUCCGCCGUUAUCUCCCAGUCGGGCCUCGACUUCGCCAAGGACCUGCUCGUGUCCCACGCCGCGGAGACGCUCACGCCCCUCAGCGUGCCGGACAUCGAGAAAUCCAUGAGCAUCCCGCUCGUCGGCACCGUCCGCAUGACCGCCUCCGGGAUCGUGCUACGCGGCCUCAACGUCACCAACUCUACCGUCGCCGUCGGGGAGAAAGGCGUCGUCGUGGCCGCCUCGCUUGCUAGAGCGAACCUCACCAUGGGGUGGAGCUACUCGUACAGCUCCUGGGUCGUGACCGUCUCUGACUCCGGGAAUGCUUCGAUUCAGUUUUGACAUGUAUGUAUACAAAGGCACAAGGUGUAUUCAUAAAUACUUUUCGCUAAGGUUGAAGGAAUGGAGGUUGGGGUUUCCAUGGGCAUCAAGAAUCAAAAUGGAUCUCUCAAGCUGACUGUUAUGGAAUGUGGCUGUUAUAUGAAGGAGUUAGACAUAACGUUAAAUGGAGGAGCAUCUUGGUUCUAUCAAGUGUUUAUAGAUGCUUCCAGCAAUCAUAUCAGAUCAUCAGUGGAAAAUGCAAUUACGAAAAAGAUAAUGGAAGGUGCAUUGAAGCUUGACUCGCUCCUCGCAAACCUUCCAAAGAAAAUUGAUCUUGAUAGUGUUGCUGCAAUGAAUGUGACUUUUGUUAAUGAUCCACUAUUCAAGAGCUCCUCUGUUGAGUUUGAUAUAGACGGCUUAUUUAUCCCAUCUGAUGAAACUGCUGUUCCAAGAUACAUGAUUCUUGGAGAUAUCAAAUACACAUUACCUCUUGGGAGUUCCUCAAAAAUGCUUUGGAUUUCAUUGGAUGAAGAUGUUUUCAACUCUGUUUCAGAUCUGUACUUCAAGGCUGGUUUGCUGCGAAGGAUGGUGGACAAGAUUCCCAAUCAGUUUCUUUUGAACACUGCUAGCUGGAGGUUUUUGGUUCCUCAACUGUAUCAAAAAUAUCCAGAUGAUAAUAUGCUACUUAAUAUUUCUGCAAUUUCGCCUCCCUCUGUGAGGAUUAAUGUGGGCAGAAUUGAUGCCACAGUUGACUUAGAUGUCACAGUUAAUGUUUUGGAUUCUGGAAAGAUAAUUCCAGUUGCCUGCAUGUCAGUGUCAGUUGCUGUUUCUGGAGCCGCAGCGGUAUCAGGGAAUAACCUUGGUGGAAGAGUGGAAUUGGAUUAUUUCUCAUUUACAUUGAAGUGGAGUCAAGUUGGCAAACUCCACACUGUUCUAGUUCAGGUGAUUUUGCUGAACUAUAUAUUUAUGUUGUCUUCCUGCUUGUCCUAUUUUGUCUCCUAGGUGCAGGGCCUUCAAUUGCACACACCACACCCUUUAAGCAAGUUCAGCUUCGAGAUCAUAAUAGCAAGAGGAAAGUUAUGAGGUUUUGGGGAUCCCAUCAUAGGCUGCAAUCUUUCAAAAUUGAAAUGCUCCACGGAACAACAUGGUGUUGUAGUUUUUACAGCAUGUAUCAUUGUCUUUUAACUUAGUUAUUACUAGGACCAAGUACCAGUGGCUCGUUGAGUUGCAUAUGUAAAUUUCAGAGUUCAUUGAACAUCUUGUGCUGGAACUUAGUAUCUUGCCUUCAAGAUGUCUAAUGUGAUGCAACUUUUGUUAUAUCCGCAGACAGUGCUACGAAUUUUCCUGAAACACUUGUUUGUGCCUUAUGUGAACUCAUAUCUCGAGAAAGGCUUUCCGUUGCCCAUCAUCAAGGGUUUCUCCAUCAGAGAUGCAUAUAUCCUCACUUCUUACUCAAAACUGAUUGUAAGCUGCGAUGUCACCUUCAUUGAACCAGAGGCCCUGUUCCCUGUCCAGACCCAUGGAAGAUUUAUCCUAUAAUGUUGGUUCAGCAAAAGCAUGGCAACCACCAUGGAACUACUAUUGUAGACUCCUGCUGUAGCAAAUCGUACAGUAAUGCCAUGGCAAUGUAACAUUUCUUUUUUUUUAAUGUAAACAACUGUGCAAUGUAUAUGUUUAUAUGCAGAACCGUACAAGCAGUCCUUAGGUUGAGUUGCUACACUUACACUAGGUUUGAAGAGAAGUGGGUAGUUGUAAUGCACUAUGAACCUAUCACUCUUUCAAUGAACAACUAUCGAGGUGCCUGUAUAUAAUAUGCACAACUGUGUAUAAUCUUUUGGUUUUGUAA